CAAUACAAACCUCCAUCGAGGCUCCGGGACGCCCGUUUACUUGCUGUACGCUCGAAGUGUGGGGCAGGCCUGUCAAUUAGAGCACUAGCUUGCCUGGUCUGAGCUUGAGUCCGGCCACUGUAUCGAAAUUUGGAUCCUAGCGCAAGAAAUUUGCUUUUGGGAAUGGUGUCUGUAGUAAUACCUGAAAAACGUGUGAUGUUCUACACAGACUUUCCAUAAUUUCUUAGCUGCUCGGUAAC
rnacentral:lncRNA from 1 species